rnacentral:misc_RNA from 1 species
AACGCAUAUUGCACUCUCUGGUAUUCCGGGGAGUAUGCCUGUUUGAGGGUCAGUAAAAAUAAAAAAUCUAUCAUGAAUCCUUUUUUUAAUUUAUUUUAUUAAAUCGGAUCAUGGAAUUGGAUCUUUUCAAAAAAUUUCAUUGUUUUUGAUGAUCUUAAAUUUAUGUUAUAUGGCUAUAUAUAUAAACUGAACCAAAAAGAGCAAUUAUUUAUAAUUAAUCUCAUUUAGUGAUGUUUUAUUAAGCCAAAUAUGAUUUAUUUUGAUAUUUAAUUAUCAAAAUAAUCAUAAACAUAUUUUAAAAAUGACCUCAAAUCAGGUAAGAGUACCCGCUGAACUUAA